AUCUGCAGUCAGAGUCACUGGUCACAGAAAGAAGCGAAGGAUAUGUAGAGAGAAUAUCAUAGAAGUGAUCUUUUUCUUUCUUAUUAGAAAACGGAUUUUAAUCUUUUCUUCCUGUAAACUGUGUGAAAGGAAACAACUGUUGGCUCAGCAGGAAAAGUCAGAUGGAUGCCAGAUCACAGUCAGUGGCUAUUGGAAUAGCAAUAGCAUUCUGCAUCCUUGGGGUGUUUGUGCUGGUCUGUGUGCUACAGAUUUGCUGGAAAAAACUCAAGAGCCGCUGCAAGAGGAAGCGGCCUUCAGCAAAAGAUAAAAUCCUGAAGAAAGUAGGUAUUAAGAAAUCAUCGCCUCCUUUCUCCAUCAGUGGGAUUAUAGACAAGAAAUGACGGCACAUGGUCAAGACAUGCAUCAGAAUGUGGACUUCGCUCCUUUUCUCUGAUAUGUGGAAACUUGUAUUUAUUUAUUUGUAAAAUGAUGAAUUCUUCUUUUAACUGUCUUUUACGUUACACCUAAUGGAUGGUGAUGUUUUAUGAUUCAUAACUUAGGUGGAAGUGAACUAUAAUAUUUAUAACUCUUACACCAAAACCCAAAAGGUGAAAUUACAGCUAAAUGUGAUGGUAUUCUCAUUUAUUUUAAAUCUUUAGGUUUUUUUCACAUUCUUUUGCCAUAAAAUAAGAGCUGAGCUCUUGACACUUCUUGUUGCAUUUAUUACAUUUUAGUUUUUGAAAGUGACACGUAAACCCCUUUCUGUCCUAAGCAAUAGGAAAAGGAAAUGAGAAGGAAAGAUAUUGCAAGACAGCAGUUGUUGAUGCAGGUGGUCUCAGGUGUGGUCAUUCUGUUCAGGGUUUCAGAUGCUCCUAUUUUUGGGCUUGUAUAGGCUUAGGGAUUUUGCUCUGUUGCACCACUUUACCCUUUUAACAGACAUUAAUUGACUAAUAAGUUGAAUAUGUGUAAAAUGAUCAUUAAUAGGGUACUGUAAUAGCAUCGAAGCACACAUAUUUCCUUGUUUGUUUUAAUGAAAAAUAUUCUGAUUUUAUUUGUGUAAAUCUGUUUAAGGCUGGGUUUGCUAGUUAGGGUUCAAGCAUGCAGUGCGUAGAACCCUAUUGGAAUUGUCAAGAUUUUUCUUUUUUUUCCUGCCAUAAAACGAAACGCACAGACCAAACCACAAGUCCUAGAGACACAGAACGUGGUCAAUAGUAGUCCCUCCCGCUACUCAGGCGCAUGACAUCAGCCCAAUCGGCCUACAGGGGGCUCUUUUGCCAUAAAAUAAGAGCUGAGCUCUUGACACUUCUUGUUGCAUUUAUUACGUUUUAGUUUUUGAAAGAUAUGGCAACCAUUUUAUGUGUGUGUGUGUGCCUGUGUUCUUUAGGUGGUUCUAAGACUCAGAAAAGUAUCCAGUCACCAUAAGGUUAGCCCCUUAAAUGGCCAUGGCCCACCAGGGGGGCGUAAAGUUUUCAUACACACUACAGUAACCUAAGAAAAGC